GUGAUUCUCCCACUUCGGUUUCCCAAACUGCUGGGAUUAUAGAGAGAAGAAAACACCGUGUGAAGGCAUAGACACACAGGGGACACCACGUGAAGAUGGUGGCACAGAUUGCAGAGACGUGUCAACAAGCCAGGGGGCACCAGGGGUCCCUGACCACCAUGAGAACUUGGAAGAGGCAAGGAAGUUUCUACCCAGGGUCUCAGAGCAUGGCCCUACCGACACCUUGGUCUUGCACUUCCGGCCUCCAGACCCACGAGACAACAAAUUUCUGUAGUUUUAAGCCACCUGAUCUGCGUUACUUUGUUGCUGCAGCCCUGGGACACUGAUGCCGCCUUUACCGAUUACACUCCCCUGACUAGUAGAGUCUGUCGCCACUGAACAUAGAAGGACGCUGCCCUCAGAGAGGUCAGCAGGCUACUCAGUGUCACCCAGCUUGUGUCCCUGCACAAGGCACUUGGCCUAUUUGCUACAGUUCUGGCCGUGUUGCUUUGUUUUGUUUUCUGAUUGUCAAAAGAUACCCCUCCAUAGGGUUGUGAAAUAUGUGAUGGAAAUGAUGAAAAAAUGAUUAAACAAAGCAUUGAGGUAUAAUUUACA